rnacentral:rRNA from 1 species
AGAGUUUGAUCCUGGCUCAGGACGAACGCUGGCGGCGUGCCUAAUACAUGCAAGUAGAACGCUGAAGAGAGGAGCUUGCUCUUCUUGGAUGAGUUGCGAACGGGUGAGUAACGCGUAGGUAACCUGCCUUGUAGCGGGGGAUAACUAUUGGAAACGAUAGCUAAUACCGCAUAACAAUGGAUGACACAUGUCAUUUAUUUGAAAGGGGCAAUUGCUCCACUACAAGAUGGACCUGCGUUGUAUUAGCUAGUAGGUGAGGUAACGGCUCACCUAGGCGACGAUACAUAGCCGACCUGAGAGGGUGAUCGGCCACACUGGGACUGAGACACGGCCCAGACUCCUACGGGAGGCAGCAGUAGGGAAUCUUCGGCAAUGGGGGCAACCCUGACCGAGCAACGCCGCGUGAGUGAAGAAGGUUUUCGGAUCGUAAAGCUCUGUUGUAAGUCAAGAACGAGUGUGAGAGUGGAAAGUUCACACUGUGACGGUAGCUUACCAGAAAGGGACGGCUAACUACGUGCCAGCAGCCGCGGUAAUACGUAGGUCCCGAGCGUUGUCCGGAUUUAUUGGGCGUAAAGCGAGCGCAGGCGGUUUGAUAAGUCUGAAGUUAAAGGCUGUGGCUCAACCAUAGUUCGCUUUGGAAACUGUCAAACUUGAGUGCAGAAGGGGAGAGUGGAAUUCCAUGUGUAGCGGUGAAAUGCGUAGAUAUAUGGAGGAACACCGGUGGCGAAAGCGGCUCUCUGGUCUGUAACUGACGCUGAGGCUCGAAAGCGUGGGGAGCGAACAGGAUUAGAUACCCUGGUAGUCCACGCCGUAAACGAUGAGUGCUAGGUGUUGGAUCCUUUCCGGGAUUCAGUGCCGCAGCUAACGCAUUAAGCACUCCGCCUGGGGAGUACGACCGCAAGGUUGAAACUCAAAGGAAUUGACGGGGGCCCGCACAAGCGGUGGAGCAUGUGGUUUAAUUCGAAGCAACGCGAAGAACCUUACCAGGUCUUGACAUCCCGAUGCUAUUUCUAGAGAUAGAAAGUUACUUCGGUACUUCGGUGACAGGUGGUGCAUGGUUGUCGUCAGCUCGUGUCGUGAGAUGUUGGGUUAAGUCCCGCAACGAGCGCAACCCCUAUUGUUAGUUGCCAUCAUUCAGUUGGGCACUCUAGCGAGACUGCCGGUAAUAAACCGGAGGAAGGUGGGGAUGACGUCAAAUCAUCAUGCCCCUUAUGACCUGGGCUACACACGUGCUACAAUGGUUGGUACAACGAGUUGCGAGUCGGUGACGGCAAGCUAAUCUCUUAAAGCCAAUCUCAGUUCGGAUUGUAGGCUGCAACUCGCCUACAUGAAGUCGGAAUCGCUAGUAAUCGCGGAUCAGCACGCCGCGGUGAAUACGUUCCCGGGCCUUGUACACACCGCCCGUCACACCACGAGAGUUUGUAACACCCGAAGUCGGUGAGGUAACCUUUUGGAGCCAGCCGCCUAAAGUGGGAUAGAUGAUUGGGGUGAAGUCGUAACAAGGUA